rnacentral:lncRNA from 1 species
CAUACCUCUGUCCUAGAAGCCGGAAAAGGAGUGAAAACAGAUUGGGGAGAUAAGCCUAAAAAGUAAUAUAUUCAAAACCACCCAGCAGUAGGCUUUAUUAAGAACAAACUGGGUAAACAUUCUGCCAUGUUUCUUAUUAAAAAUGGCCAGCGUUUCAUGAAGGAUAACAUUUUUAUACAGAAGGCAGUCAAGCUCAACCCAGAGCCAUGGAGGCCCCAGAGGGUUGUCUUUAAGACCCCGUUUCUGACCUUGACGUCGCAGCGUGUUUCUGUCUGAGGGCAGUGGGCGUGGGCUUGCCUCCCGCAAGCCACUCUGGUCAGGCUGUUGAGCUCUAGUCAUCUGUGGAGAGAAUCAUGCAAAUUUUAAAGUUCUUCCAAGAGACUUCCAUAUCCUGGUUAUUAACAAAAAAAAAAAAAAAAAAAAAAAAAAAAACCAAACAAAAAAGAAAAAAAUGUAAUAACUGAUAUGAUUUUGUAAAAGUAUUUUUCUUGAAAUAAUCUAACGUUUAAAACAUUAUAUUAAAAAAAGUUGUGUGGUGGGAAUAUGUAAGCAGAGAAAUAACUUGUAAAUGGAUAAUUUUAUUCUCUGUACCACCAAUUGGGGGGGGGGGAUGACUUUCACAAUGUAUAGGUUAAAAAAAUCUGAUAUAUCAAACCAUUUGUAUCUAAUGUGUACAGUGUAAAAUUGACUUUAAAAAUAUUGCAGUGCUAUUUUUUCUUAAUCAGAAAGGAAAAAUUCUCAAGGCCUUUUGAAGAGCAUAAGAUGAUGAAGAUUGUAAACUUGUAUAAAAUUAUCUUGGUGAGAAGACAAAUUGUAAAGUAGAUAUUUGUAAUCUUUUACCACUUUGGGGUUGCUUUUUUUCCCAGAAUUCAUCAGAACUUUGAAUUUUUUUUUAAUAUGGGCUGUUUUUAAUGCAGGGGCUUUUCUUCCCUAGAAAUCCAAUUCUAAGCAAAAAAAAAAAAAAAAAAAAAAAAGAAAAAACCCACAAAAAACAAAAAAACCCACAAAAACAUGGCUGUGUGUUUUUUUCCUAUCCGUGUAAAGUGGCCACCUCUUCUCUCUGGGGAGAGAGGGUCUUUUGUUCUGUGACCACGUCCUUUUUAUUUUUCCUUUGCUGAUUGGCAGGUGUCCUUUCUCUUAUGAAAUGAUAGUGAUGAUGGGUUUAAGGUUUUGAAAGUUAGUUUUGAACAGGUGGUGCAUGUACAGGGUGCCCUGCCCGCCUCCCCGUCAUCGGUACCUCUGCGUGUCAAUCAUGCCUGACCCCGUCUGGCUCGUGUGUGCUCAUGGGUAAAAGGUGAUACCAUCCGCCCCACAUCGCUCCUUUGGUGGGAGGUUGGGGGAAGAGGUGAGAAAGAUCUUAGAUUGGGGGAUCCCUGGGUGGCUCAACAGUGUAGCACCAUCUUCAGCCCAGGACCUGAUCCUGGAGACCCAGGAUCGAGUCCCACAUCGGGCUCCCUGCCUGCUUCUCCCUCUGCCUGUGUCUCUGCCUCUCUGUCUCUCUCUCAUGAGUAAAUGAAUAAAAUCUUUAAAAAAAAAUCUUAGAUGCCAUUGAAAUGUUAUAAUCGUAUGCACGGUGCCCCCCAUGUGUUAUAAUAGAUUUGGUUGGGGCCCAGUGAUGGGCCAAGGGCACUCAUUGUAACAUCGUUGCUAUGGCGAAGCAGGGUCUUCUUUAGGAUGAUGCUGUUGCUCCUGCGGUUGACAUCAUCUUUGCGGUCCUUACGACAAGCUGGUUUCUGCGGUGGGUGUUUGCACCAGCCACUGAAAUGACCUCUUUUGUUACCUGAGGGC